rnacentral:sRNA from 1 species
ACUUCCAUUAAGCCGUUAGCCAGUAAACGAUUAACGCAAGCUCUGUAAAGAGCAUUCCCCUCGACUCGUAACACUUAUGGUUACGAGUCCUUUUUU